UUCAGACUCAGCAAGAAAGACGGCUUCAGACUCGGCAAGAAAGAUGGGCUAUAAAUGUAUGCUGAGAAGUACAGGAGCAGGAAAAAAGCAGUAGCAAAAUGCCUGUGUAAUGGAGCAAGAGCUUGUAAACCGAAGGACACUUGCCAGAAUGAAUUUACACAAUGGUUUUACUGUCACCGUGCAGCACACACCUGUGGACUCUGUGGUUGUGAAAACAACUCUGAAUAUUACUGAGGACUUCUCCCAUGAGGAAUAUGAACCGACUGACAUGUAGCCUGAACUCACACUGAACCCACCAAAAGGCCAGGACACAUGGCUAAUCGCUACAAGUUUAAGCAUCUGAGAGUGACUGGGGGUCACUCUCCGGGGAGAGUGAAAACGGUUGGCGAGAAAACGGUUGGAAUGGCUAUGCUAACAUAUCCUAGCUCUCUCUUCCCACAUGUAUAGGGUUGCCAAAUGUCCC